AAAGGUAAGGAUAUUGCUUUUUCGUAGCGAAGGUAAGAGUUCAAUUCUCUUUAGG
rnacentral:tRNA from 1 species